CCCAGACUCCUACGGGAGGCAGCAGUGGGGAAUAUUGCACAAUGGGGGAAACCCUGAUGCAGCGACGCCGCGUGAGCGAAGAAGUAUUUCGGUAUGUAAAGCUCUAUCAGCAGGGAAGAAAAAAAUGACGGUACCUGAGUAAGAAGCACCGGCUAAAUACGUGCCAGCGGCCGCGGUAAUACGUAUGGUGCAAGCGUUAUCCGGAUUUACUGGGUGUAAAGGGAGCGUAGGCGGCGCGUUAAGUCUGAUGUGAAAACCCGAGGCUCAACCACGGGAGUGCAUUGGAAACUGGCGGGCUGGAGUGCCGGAGAGGUAAGCGGAAUUCCUAGUGUAGCGGUGAAAUGCGUAGAUAUUAGGAGGAACACCAGUGACGAAGGCGGCUUACUGGACGGCAACUGACGCUGAGGCUCGAAAGCGUGGGGAGCAAACAGGAUUAGAUACCCCAGUA
rnacentral:rRNA from 1 species